ensembl:rRNA 5S_rRNA 5S ribosomal RNA
GUCUACGGCCAUACCACCCUGAAUGCGCCUGAUCUCGUCUGAUCUCGGAAGCUAAGCAGGGUCGGGCCUGGUUAGUACUUGGAUGGGAGAAAUUCCCAUCUAGACC